UACGUAGGGGGCUAGCGUUGUCCGGAUUUAUUGGGCGUAAAGAGCGUGUAGGCGGCCAGGUAGGUCUGCUGUGAAAACUCGAGGCUCAACCUCGAGACGUCGGUUGAAACCGUACGGCUAGAGUCCGGAAGAGGAGAGUGGAAUUCCCGGUGUAGCGGUGAAAUGCGCAGAUAUCGGGAAGAACACCCGUGGCGAAGGCGGCUCUCUGGGACGGUACUGACGCUGAGACGCGGAAGCGUGGGGAGCGAACAGG
rnacentral:rRNA from 1 species